rnacentral:rRNA from 1 species
GUGGAGACCACACUUCGCGUGUAGGCAAUCUCGAGGUGGCGGGGUGCUAGGGAGCUGGCCGAGCAGUUCCUCUGUGCUAGCUUUGCCCACCUCCCAGCGGGCUCGCCGAUCAUGUUCCGCCUCGAGGAGAUGCAUCCCAACGCCAGCUCACCGCUGACUGCGCUCCUCGCUCACUUCAGUAAUCGCUUCGACGCCUAUUACCUCCUCGACAAGGUGUGUUGGUGUGUCUGUGAGUUCAUUGCAUUCACGACCUACAACAUCUUCACCGGCAUCGAGAGCAUCUUCCCCGCCGAAGACCGCAUGCACACUCUCCCCUAUUAUCUAGGCUAG